rnacentral:rRNA from 1 species
GAUGAACGCUGGCGGCGUGCCUAAUACAUGCAAGUCGAGCGAACGGACGAGAAGCUUGCUUCUCUGAUGUUAGCGGCGGACGGGUGAGUAACACGUGGAUAACCUACCUAUAAGACUGGGAUAACUUCGGGAAACCGUAGCUAAUACCGGAUAAUAUUUUGAACCGCAUGGUUCAAAAGUGAAAGACGGUCUUGCUGUCACUUAUAGAUGGAUCCGCGCUGCAUUAGCUAGUUGGUAAGGUAACGGCUUACCAAGGCAACGAUGCAUAGCCGACCUGAGAGGGUGAUCGGCCACACUGGAACUGAGACACGGUCCAGACUCCUACGGGAGGCAGCAGUAGGGAAUCUUCCGCAAUGGGCGAAAGCCUGACGGAGCAACGCCGCGUGAGUGAUGAAGGUCUUCGGAUCGUAAAACUCUGUUAUUAGGGAAGAACAUAUGUGUAAGUAACUGUGCACAUCUUACGGUACCUAAUCAGAAAGCCACGGCUAACUACGUG